rnacentral:rRNA from 1 species
CCUACGGGAGGCUGCAGUGGGGGAUAUUGGACAAUGGGGGGAACCCUGAUCCAGCGACGCCGCGUGAGUGAAGAAGUAUUUCGGUAUGUAAAGCUCUGUCAUCAGGGAAGAAAGAAAUGACGGUACCUGACCAAGAAGCCCCGGCUAACUACGUGCCAGCAGCCGCGGUAAUACGGAGGGGGCAAGCGUUAUCCGGAAUUACUGGGUGUAAAGGGAGCGUAGACGGUUAAGUAAGUCUGUUGUGAAAGGCAGGGGCCCAACCCCGGGACUGCUCUGGAAACUAUUGAACUUGAAUGCAGGAGAGGUAAGCGGAAUUCCUAGUGUAGCGGUGAAAUGCGUAGAUAUUAGGAGGAACACCAGUGGCGAAGGCGGCUUACUGGACUGUAACUGACGUUGAGGAUCGAAAGCGUGGGGAGCAAACGGGAUUAGAUACCCGAGUAGUC